rnacentral:lncRNA from 1 species
GAGCGCAUGUGCGUACGGCGUCCUCGGAAGACAUCAUACAGGAAACACUACAUUCUUGCAGCGUUUGGUGGUAAGGGUUUGACAUUUUGGAGAUGCUUUUCAUUUGACUGCAAAAUUGACCUUUAUGUUCUGGAUGGGACUAUGACGUGUCAAAAAUAUCGCGAUAACAUACCCGGGAUAUCGAUGUGCCACAUGUUUACUAUCACAAUCUUGCAACUUGAC